ensembl:misc_RNA
CAAGUGGUCAGGACACAGGCAUGACAGUGCGAGCUUUCCCCAAACCACCCCAUUCAUGUGCCUAAACCCUGACCUAGAGGGACCAUCUCUAGA